GACGAACGCUGGCGGCGUGCUUAACACAUGCAAGUCGAACGGAAAGGCCCUGCUUUUGUGGGGUGCUCGAGUGGCGAACGGGUGAGUAACACGCGAGUAACCUGCCCUUGACUUUGGGAUAACUUCAGGAAACUGGGGCUAAUACCGGAUAGGAGCUCCUGCUGCAUGGUGGGGGUUGGAAAGUUUCGGCGGUUGGGGAUGGACUCGCGGCUUAUCAGCUUGUUGGUGGGGUAGUGGCUUACCAAGGCUUUGACGGGUAGCCGGCCUGAGAGGGUGACCGGCCACAUUGGGACUGAGAUACGGCCCAGACUCCUACGGGAGGCAGCAGUGGGGAAUAUUGCACAAUGGGCGGAAGCCUGAUGCAGCAACGCCGCGUGCGGGAUGACGGCCCUCGGGUUGUAAACCGCUUUCGCCUGUGACGAAGCGUGAGUGACGGUAAUGGGUAAAGAAGCACCGGCUAACUACGUG
rnacentral:rRNA from 1 species